GUGUGUUACAGCCGUGCAACCUGGGAUUUACAACUACAAACCAUUUUGGCGCAAGUUAGACGUUACAUUUGUGUCAAAACGUAUUUUCUUCGUAAGAAAGUGCUCAGUGAGGUAGUAAACAAGGUUAUUUGUUGAAUUGUAAAGUAAGAGAAGCAUUUCUAAUGUUCUUGUUCCUGUUGAGGUCCUGACAGGUUAGGGACAUGAAUGACGUUCUAAAGAGACAUACGGAUGGUGUACUUUGUUUUAAAAGGUGAUUUUUGGUAUGAAUCAUCUGAGGCCACUUACAACCAACUUAAAAAUGUGUGAUAUUUCCACUCCAUCUCACCUGCUCAUCCGGGAGGACUUUGUCCUGAAUUCAGCACACUGCUUAAGGAAUGCUUAUCCUUUAAUGGUGUUGUUUGGAGCCCAUGACUUCAAGAAGAGUUGUCAAAAUAUUCAGGUGUCACAAUGUCAUCGGCAUCCCUUACAUGAGAAUAUAACGCAGAUCAGUUAUGACAUCAUGCUACUGAAGUUAAAGACCACAGCUCGUCUAACUGAGAAUGUGACGGUCAUUGGACUCCCAAAUGGAGUGUGAACGUAUCCCAGCAUCUCCCAAAUGCUCCGUAGCUGGUUGGGACAAGACUAACUCAAACAACAAACAGGGUUCUGGCAUUUUUACUCAUUCAUUUAAUACAAGAAUAAGAUGCAAACCCCAUAAUUGAGAAGUGUACAUAUUCAGAGAUAUAAUAAUGUGUGUUUCCUGUCCUCUCUGAGGUCACCAAAUGAAACACACUCGUCAUACCCGUCCCUUAAGUAUCCAUGGACCAUUCCCACCUUCUCACAAGUGGACAUUUUGUAUCAAAUCCCCAUUUUGAGGAUUUAGGAGUUCGCUGUGAAAUGCUUUGUUCUCUCUAUGUGUCUCUUUCUGCAUGGCCAGGGGGAGAGGGUCUCCUCCAGGAAUUUACGACCAGAGAGAGAGAGAGAGAGAGAGAGAGAGAGAGAGAGAGAGAGAGAGAGAGAGAGAGAGAGAGAGAGAGAGAGAGAGAGAGAGAGAGAGAGAGAGAGAGAGAGAACAAUCUAUACCCAGGGCCACGUAAUGACAAUAGAUAGGACCUUUAAUUGAAUCUAGGUUUCUCUGGGGACAUAAUAACAAGCUAUCCAUACCACAGGAGGGUGGAGCGGGACCUGUAUCAGUGAUUUAGACCAGAUCAUCUGCAGAGAUAUAUCUCCCCAUGUACUCACCUAAGAUUACUUAUUACCACAUACAGUGCAUUCAGAAAAGUAUUUCAGACCCCUUGAACUAUUUCCACAUUUUAUUACGUUACAGCCUUAUUCUAAAAUGGAUCAAACAUUUUUAUUUCGGUCAUCAAUCAAAUCAAAUGUUAUUUAUCACAUUCACGUGUUUAAUACAGUAUAU